UUGUAACUCUCUGGUUGUUGA
ensembl:piRNA 21ur-4747 ncRNA